rnacentral:rRNA from 1 species
UACGGAGGGUGCGAACGUUAAUCGGAAUCACUGGGCGUAAAGCGCGCGUAGGCGGUCUGUUAAGUGGGAUGUGAAAUCCCCGGGCUUAACCUGGGAAUUGCAUUCCAAACUGGCCGACUAGAGUACGGUAGAGGGAGGUAGAAUUUCCUGUGUAGCGGUGAAAUGCGUAGAUAUAGGAAGGAAUACCAGUGGCGAAGGCGGCCUCCUGGAUCGAUACUGACGCUGAGGCGCGAAAGCGUGGGGAGCAAACAGG